UACCCAUAUUUGGGUGAAAAAAAAUUAUUGUACACCUUUUUGUUUACCGAAAAUGUUUUCUGCAAAAUGAAAUGUCCAAAUAUUUAUUAAUUAAAUUAUUAAAUAUUUCGGUCGACUUGCUGAUCGUAAUAAUGGUACCAAAACAAGUCAAAUAGAGCGAUGGAUCAAGCAGUACCUUCCGAGCGACCAGUUUAUUAACAACCGGACCUGCUGCAUGAACAGCCGCGAAAAUGAAUACCUCCAACUAUGUGGCAUACAAAUCAUGUCGGAUCCGCCGCUACAACCUCCGCGAAAAUGAG